CUUGGGGUGGGCAAUUGGUUACAUAUUAUCAUUAUUUCAGAAUUGAAAUAUUCAAUGUUCUGCAUGAUCAAAUUAUUGUUGAGUUGAACAACCGCUUUGCUGAAAGAUCCACUCAAUUGUUGAGAUGCAUAGCUUGUCUUGAUCCUAGAAAUUCAUUUGCUAAUUAUGAUGAAGACAAACUAGUUGAGCUUGCUAAUAUGUAUGUUGCUGACUUCUCUACAUAUGAAGUCGCUUUUGUCCUUAGAAACCAAUUGGAAUCAUUCAUCCAUGAAGCAAGAACUGAUUCUCAUUUGAUGAACUGUAAUGACCUUGGUCAUCUUGCCAUGAAGAUGGUUCUAGCUGAUAUGCACACAUCUUUCCCCUUGGUUUAUCGCCUUGUUGAGUUAGCAUUAAUUUUACCAGUUGCAACUGCAACAGUGGAAAGGGCCUUUUCAGCAAUGAGCAUCAUCAAGACUGGGUUGAGGAACAAGAUGGGUGAUGAUUGGAUGAAUCACAGAAUGGUCUGUUAUAUUGAGCGAGAUGUAUUUGUUAGUAUUGAAGAGUCAAAGAUCAUAUAGCGAUUUCAAGGAUAUUGCUCUCGUAAAGGCCUUUUACCUCGUCCUAGAAGGCUGGCUUCUUCUACUACCGAAGAUGAAGUCAUGGGAGGCUCGACAAGCUGAUCAUCCAUUUGGUACCAUAUUUUGUAGUUUUGUUUCAUGUAUGCUACAUAUUGCCUUUUAUUAUAUCUGAAGUUGUGAGUUGAAUUGUUGAAA